rnacentral:rRNA from 1 species
CCUACGGGGGGCAGCAGUGGGGAAUAUUGCGCAAUGGGCGAAAGCCUGACGCAGCGACGCCGCGUGAGGGAUGAAGGUCUUCGGAUCGUAAACCUCUGUCAGCAGGGAAGAACGGUCACUGUGCUAAUCAGCAGUGAAUUGACGGUACCUGAACAGGAAGCACCGGCUAACUCCGUGCCAGCAGCCGCGGUAAUACGGAGGUUGCGAGCGUUAUUCGGAUUUACUGGGCGUAAAGGGCGCGUAGGCGGUAUGUCAAGUCUAGUGUGAAAUCCCCGUGCUUAACGUGGGAAGUGCCUUUGAAACUGGCAAACUGGAGUGUGUGAGAGGAUAGUGGAAUUCCAGGUGUAGGAGUGAAAUGCGUAGAUAUCUGGAGGAACAUCAGUGGCGAAGGCGACUAUCUGGCACAUAACUGACGCUGAGGUGCGAAAGCGUGGGUAGCAAACAGGAUUAGAUACCCCGGUAGUC